rnacentral:rRNA from 1 species
UAGAUACCCUGGUAGUCCAUACCGUAAACGAUGAAUGCUAAGUGUUGGAGGGUUUCCCCCUUCAGUGCUGCAGCUAACGCAUUAAGCAUUCCGCCUGGGGAGUACGGCCGCAAGGCUGAAACUCAAAGGAAUUGACGGGGGCCCGCACAAGCGGUGGAGCAUGUGGUUUAAUUCGAAGCUACGCGAAGAACCUUACCAGGUCUUGACAUACUAUGCAAAUCUAAGAGAUUAGACGUUCCCUUCGGGGACAUGGAUACAGGUGGUGCAUGGUUGUCGUCAGCUCGUGUCGUGAGAUGUUGGGUUAAGUCCCGCAACGGGCGCAACCCUUAUUAUCAGUUGCCAGCAUUAAGUUGGGCACUCUGGUGAGACUGCCGGUGACAAACCGGAGGAAGGUGGGGAUGACGUCAAAUCAUCAUGCCCCUUAUGACCUGGGCUACACACGUGCUACAAUGGAUGGUACAACGAGUUGCGAACUCGCGAGAGUAAGCUAAUCUCUUAAAGCCAUUCUCAGUUCGGAUUGUAGGCUGCAACUCGCCUACAUGAAGUCGGAAUCGCUAGUAAUCGCGGAUCAGCAUGCCGCGGUGAAUACGUUCCCGGGCCUUGUACACACCGCCCGUCACACCAUGAGAGUUUGUAACACCCAAAGUCGGUGGGGUAACCUUUAGGAACCAGCCGCCUAAGGUGGGACAGAUGAUUAGGGUGAAGUCGUAACAAGGUAACCA